rnacentral:rRNA from 1 species
AUUGAACGCUGGCGGCAGGCUUAGCACAUGCAAGUCGAGCGGUAACAGAGAGAAGCUUGCUUCUCUGCUGACGAGCGGCGGACGGGUGAGUAAUGCCUAGGAAUCUGCCUAGUAGUGGGGGAUAACUUGCCGAAAGGUAAGCUAAUACCGCAUACGUCCUACGGGAGAAAGGAGGGGACCUUCGGGCCUUUCGCUAUUAGAUGAGCCUAGGUCGGAUUAGUUAGUUGGUGAGGUAAUGGCUCACCAAGACCGCGAUCCGUAACUGGUCUGAGUGGAUGAUCAGUCACACUGGAACUGAGACACGGUCCAGACUCCUACGGGAGGCAGCAGUGGGGAAUAUUGGACAAUGGGGGGAACCCUGAUCCAGCCAUGCCGCGUGUGUGAAGAAGGUCUUAGGAUUGUAAAGCACUUUAAGUUGGGAGGAAGAGCAGUUAACUAAUAUUUGACUGUUUUGACGUUACCGACAGAAUAAGCACCGGCUAACUUCGUGCCAGCCGCCGCGGUAA